rnacentral:tRNA from 2 species
GCGGGUGUAGCUCAGUUGGAUUAGAGCGCUGGCCUCCGAAGCAGAGGCCGUCCGUUCAAGUCGGACCAUCCGCA